rnacentral:rRNA from 1 species
UACGUAGGGGGCAAGCGUUGUCCGGAUUUAUUGGGCGUAAAGAGCGUGUAGGCGGCCUGGAAGGUCAGCUGUGAAAACUCGAGGCUCAACCUCGAGACGUCGGUUGAAACCACCUGGCUAGAGUCCGGAAGAGGAGUGUGGAAUUCCCGGUGUAGCGGUGGAAUGCGCAGAUAUCGGGAGGAACACCCGUGGCGAAGGCGGCAUCCUGGACCAACACUGACACUGAGGAGCGAAAGCCAGGGGAGCAAACGGG